AACUCUGAUAAACGGUGGCCUAGUGGUUAGAGCGUCCGUUUCGGAUGCGGGAGGUCGUGGGUUCGAUCCUCGGUCGAGUCA